UUCCAAGAAGGUUUUUUACAGUAUCAAAACAUACUUGUAAUAUUUUUAUUCCAAGUUAGUCAAAUAUCUUGAUUAUAGUAGUUCUAUAAUACUAUAAAAAAAUUAAAUGAAAAAUACCAUCAAACCUCACUAAAGUGCAACAUUUAGUAAUAAUAAACGAUGCCGACCAAAAAAAUAUUCUAAAAGGUGUUGGUACCCCUUGGUCGAAGAAGAAUCAAUCAAGAAAGUCUAAGAUGGAGCAACGUAGCUUAGUGAAUUAUUUGCUCGGGAAAAAUUAUUCUUUUGAAUUCAAUGUGCAAAGGAUCGAUUCACAGUCACUCCAAGAGAAGGAAAAAUAAUGUAUAUUUAUCAAAAGCACAAAUUCCUAGGUAUAAUUGAUUUAUGGGAAUACUAUCAUGUUUACUUAAUCGGUGCAACUUAGUACUGUCACUAGCAGGGAAUUUACUCUAUUUUUCGAUAUAAUUUAUACAUUGAAGAAUAAAAAUUACCUACAAAGGGA
rnacentral:lncRNA from 1 species